rnacentral:rRNA from 1 species
AUACGUAGGGUGCGAGCGUUGUCCGGAAUUACUGGGCGUAAAGAGCUCGUAGGUGGUUUGUCGCGUCGUCUGUGAAAUUCCGGGGCUUAACUCCGGGCGUGCAGGCGAUACGGGCAUAACUUGAGUACUGUAGGGGAGACUGGAAUUCCUGGUGUAGCGGUGAAAUGCGCAGAUAUCAGGAGGAACACCGGUGGCGAAGGCGGGUCUCUGGGCAGUAACUGACGCUGAGGAGCGAAAGCAUGGGUAGCGAACAGGAUUAGAUACCCUGGUAGUCCAUGCCGUAAACGGUGGGCGCUAGGUGUAGGGGUCUUCCACGACUUCUGUGCCGUAGCUAACGCAUUAAGCGCCCCGCCUGGGGAGUACGGCCGAAAGGCUAAAACUCAAAUGAAUUGACGGG